rnacentral:rRNA from 1 species
UUUAAUUCGAAGCAACGCGCAGAACCUUACCAGCCUUUGACAUGUCCCGUAUGGACCUUGGAGACAGGGUCCUUCAGUUCGGCUGGCGGGAACACAGGUGCUGCAUGGCUGUCGUCAGCUCGUGUCGUGAGAUGUUGGGUUAAGUCCCGCAACGAGCGCAACCCUCGCCCUUAGUUGCCAUCAUUAGGUUGGGCACUCUAAGGGGACUGCCGGUGAUAAGCCGAGAGGAAGGUGGGGAUGACGUCAAGUCCUCAUGGCCCUUACGGGCUGGGCUACACACGUGCUACAAUGGCGGUGACAAAGGGCAGCGAACCCGCGAGGGGGAGCUAAUCCUUAAAAGCCGUCUCAGUUCAGAUUGCACUCUGCAACUCGAGUGCAUGAAGGCGGAAUCGCUAGUAAUCGUGGAUCAGAACGCCA